UUCAUUCAAAUUUCUGCCCUAUCAACUUUCGAUGGUAAGGUAUUGGCUUACCAUGGUUUCAACGGGUAACGGGAGAUUAGGGUUUGACUCCGGAGAGGGAGCCUGAGAAACGGCUACCACAUCCAAGGAAGGCAGCAGGCGCGCAAAUUACCCAAUCCCGACACGGGGAGGUAGUGACAAUAAAUACUGAUACAGGGCUCUUUUGGGUCUUGUAAUUGGAAUGAGUACAAUUUAAACCCCUUAACGAGGAACAAUUGGAGGGCAAGUCUGGUGCCAGCAGCCGCGGUAAUUCCAGCUCCAAUAGCGUAUAUUAAAGUUGUUGCAGUUAAAAAGCUCGUAGUUGAACCUUGGGCCUGGCUGGCCGGUCCGCCUCACCGCGUGCACUGGUCCGGCCGGGCCUUUCCUUCUGGAGAGCCCCAUGCCCUUCACUGGGUGUGCGGGGGAACCAGGACUUUUACUUUGAAAAAAUUAGAGUGUUCAAAGCAGGCCUUUGCUCGAAUACGUUAGCAUGGAAUAAUAGAAUAGGACGUGCGGUCCUAUUUUGUUGGUUUCUAGGACCGCCGUAAUGAUUAAUAGGGAUAGUCGGGGGCAUCCGUAUUCAAUUGUCAGAGGUGAAAUUCUUGGAUUUAUUGAAGACGAACUACUGCGAAAGCAUUUGCCAAGGAUGUUUUCAUUAAUCAGUGAACGAAAGUUAGGGGAUCGAAGACGAUCAGAUACCGUCGUAGUCUUAACCGUAAACUAUGCCGACUAGGGAUUGGGCGAUGUUACUAUUUUGACUCGCUCAGCACCUUACGAGAAAUCAAAG
rnacentral:rRNA from 1 species